rnacentral:lncRNA from 1 species
CACUCCCUCUCCCACUGGAGUGUGGUCGGAGGGUCCCUCGCAUGCGAGGACAAUAAAAGCCCCUUGAUUUUUCAUGAGAGCUGGAUCCUUGGGACCUUCUUCACGAUGGAGAUCUUACAUUUGGAGGCCCCAGCAAGAUCUGUCCCCCACCUUGACGAGAGAGGCCCCAAUGGCCAUGAAGUGUCUCUUGGGGGUUCUGAGUUAUCACAUUUAGGCGCUCGGUCCGGGAUGAGAACAAGACCCCAGACUCAUUUCUGAACAUCUGAAAGUAAGUACUCUGGAGGUUUUGUUUGGGCCAUGAUCAAUUUGUAAUUUGGAGGGGACACUCCC